rnacentral:rRNA from 1 species
UGUCCUACGGGACGCAGCAGUGAGGAAUAUUGGUCAAUGGCCGAGAGGCUGAACCAGCCAAGUCGCGUGAGGGAUGACGGCCCUACGGGUUGUAAACCUCUUUUGUCGGGGAGCAAGACCCGCCUCGUGCAGGCGGAGCGAGAGUACCCGAAGAAAAAGCAUCGGCUAACUCCGUGCCAGCAGCCGCGGUAAUACGGAGGAUGCGAGCGUUAUCCGGAUUUAUUGGGUUUAAAGGGUGCGUAGGCGGACAGUCAAGUCAGCGGUAAAAAUGCGGUGCUCAACGCCGUACAGCCGUUGAAACUGGC